ACUUUUAAUCGGUUUUGUUCGGUUUAUUCGGUUUAAUCGGUUAUAUACCAAACCAUAUCCAAAUCCUACGGUUUUUAUAAAAUUAUAUCCAUUCGGUUUAUAUGGUAUAUACCAAAACCAAACCAUAUUGUCUAUUUCGGUUAUGUUAACUACAUAGUUAUAUUUUAUAAUCAUAGUAAAUUAUCUAAAACCAAACCAUAUUGUCUAUUUGGUAUCACCAGAUUUAAUCCACUUUCUCUAACUCGGCUUGAUUCAAUUUUAGUGGGUUAGUUUUACCGGAUUAAAACACCCCCUAAAUAAUUUCAAUAGCACGUACAAUUAGAAAAUCAAGUUUAUUACCCAAGCUACUCCUUUUGUUUUUAAACAAUUGAUGUUCACCAACUUUCCCAUUGGUUUGAAAAUACAAAGCUCCCAUUACAAACAAAAACAUUGAAACAUAUGAUUGAUAAAUAAACUAUUAACACACUUUUCCACGCGUAGCGUGGAGAGAGACUCUAGUAAUUAUAAUAGAAAUGACUUACUCCUUCUAACUUUAAAAUAUAAUUACUGUUAAUAAAUUGGGCCAUAACCAUACUUGUAAUAUAAAUCUCUUUUGUUUAGUUUUACAUAAACAAUAUAUUAAGAACAUGGACCAUUUUAUCUAAAUAUGAUAUAACCAUUUUAAAGCUCUCUUUAAUAAUUAAAAAUUAUUUAGAUUAUUUUGAGUCAAUGUAUAAUUAUAAUAAAAUUUCUUGCUCCUGAUGCAUUAACCAUAUAUGGAUUGUUGUUAAUAAAGUGGUCAUAACCAUAACUAAAUUAUGUGUAUAUAUAUAUAUAUAUAUAUAUAUAUAUCUUGUUUAUAGAGUGCUACAGAGAGUGAGUUUCAAAAUGAGUUCUUUCAAAUACUUGAUUGCGUUCUCUCUGGUGGUUGCGUUUGCCAUUUCCUAUGACCUUUUUUGUGAGAUGAAAAUUAACGCUCAAUGUCAGACGUGUUUUGACUAUUGUAAAGAGUCAAAAAUUGGUACAAGAGUAAGCGCAUGGUACCAGAGUAUGCAAUGCAACACACGGUGUUUAGAAAUGGCUUUCAGGGGUGGUAGUUGGCUAGUUGCAUUCAAUACCAUGAACUUCUUCACAAACCUUCUAUUGAUUAUUCUCGUCGUUGUAAACAUUAUGUAUAAAUAUUAUUCUUUUAGUGCUAGGAUCAUAUAAAUAUAUAUAUAGUUUUAUUGUUUUUUAAUUUUACUUAAAAUCUAAAUAAUCCGCGAAGUAUGUGAAGUUCUUCAUCAGGGGUUUUGGUGUACAUUCUUGCAAAAAUUGUUUUAGUAUUUAAUACGCAUGAUAAAAAAUUAUAUUUAUAAAAUCUAUUAUUGGCACUAUAACUUUUAUAAUGUUAUUUUUUAUAUAUAAUAUGUACAAUUGUACUGUAAAUGUGGCGUAGAGAUAUUAUAAUUUUAUUACUGGUUAUUUGCUUAAUCCAUUUGUUUUUAUUAACCAUUUUCUUGCACAUAGUUGGUCUGGGAUAUAUAUAUAUAUAUAUAUAUUUACUUGAACUUCCCAAUACAAAUCAUAAAAGAAGAGCAAAGAAAAAGCUGUAUUUUCAGGUUAAAAGCCCUAUUCUGGAAAGCUAUGUCAUCAUUCAAUUUACAAAUCAUAAAAGAAGAGCAAAGAAAAAGUUGUUUUUAUUAACGUUUUAAACUUUCAAUUUACAAACCGUUAACAUAUGUCAUCAUUCAUCUAUAAUUUCAUCGAUUUUAAAUGAAAAAUAAUUAAAGAUUAUAGCUGAGGGGUUUUAUCACUAAAAAAACGUGUAAAGUAAUUUAUAAAAACUUGUAAAAUUAGAUUAUAAAUCCUUAUAAAUAUUUUUAUAAUUUCUUUUGACUUUUAUAACCAAUUGAUACAUUAUUUUUGAACUCAUAUAAAAAAAUUAUAAGACUUUAAAAUUAACUUAUAAAUUUAUAACUUUUUACUAAUGUUUAAUAAUGUUUUAUCAAUAAUUUUAUGAAAAUUCGCAAUUCUUACUACAAUGCUUAUCAACUUUUAUAAAUAACUUAUAAGCCUUAAUAAAUUACUUUAUAAAUCUUUAUAGGCAGUACACACUGUUUAUAAAUCUUAUAAAUAUUUUAUAUCUUUAUAAAUAUUUUAUAAAAUAUUUAAAAGGUCUUAUAAAUAAUAUUAUAAACAUUUCUUUAUUUUUGAAUUUUCCCUUUAUUAUAUUUAAUUUAUAAGUGAUUAAUUAUUUAUAAAUGAUUUUAUAUGCCUUUAUAGUCUCUUACAUAUUAAAGUUACUAUAAAUUAUUUUAUCAACUUUGGUGAUUUAUAAACCUUUAUCAUAACUUACAAGCUCUUACAAAUAUUUUAGAGGUUUUUAAUGAUAAGACUCAUCAACUAAAUUUUUUAAUUGUUUUCUAUACAAAAUAGACAGAAUUGUAGAUGAAAUGUGACAUCUAUCUAUCUAAUCUAUUAAAAAGAAGUACAAUUAGUACUUAAACCUUAUUUUUCCUUGAUAUUUACCAU